UACAGAGGGUGCGAGCGUUGUCCGGAAUCACUGGGCGUAAAGGGCGCGUGGGUGGCGCGACAAGUCAGUGGUGAAAGUUCGACGCUCAACGUCGAAUCGGCCACUGAUACUGUUGGGCUUGAGCACUGUAGAGGCUAAUGGAAUUCCGGGUGUAGCGGUGGAAUGCGUAGAGAUCCGGAAGAACACCGGUGGCGAAGGCGGUUAGCUGGGCAGUUGCUGACACUGAGGCGCGACAGCGUGGGGAGCAAACAGG
rnacentral:rRNA from 1 species